rnacentral:rRNA from 1 species
GACGAACGCUGGCGGCGUGCUUAACACAUGCAAGUCGAACGGAAAGGCCCUGCUUUUGUGGGGUGCUCGAGUGGCGAACGGGUGAGUAACACGUGAGUAACCUGCCCUUGACUUUGGGAUAACUUCAGGAAACUGGGGCUAAUACCGGAUAGGAGCUCCUGCUGCAUGGUGGGGGUUGGAAAGUUUCGGCGGUUGGGGAUGGACUCGCGGCUUAUCAGCUUGUUGGUGGGGUAGUGGCUUACCAAGGCUUUGACGGGUAGCCGGCCUGAGAGGGUGACCGGCCACAUGGGGACUGAGAUACGGCCCAGAAUCCUACGGGAGGCAGCAGUGGGGAAUAUUGCACAAUGGGCGGAAGCCUGAUGCAGCAACGCCGCGUGCGGGAUGACGGCCUUCGGGUUGUAAACCGAUUUCGCCUGUGACGAAGCGUGAGUGACGGUAAUGGGUAAAGAAGCACCGGCUAACUACGUG